UACAGGGGGGGCAAGUGUUAUUCGGAAUUAUUGGGCGUAAAGGGCGCGUAGGCGGCGAUUCAAGUGACGGGUGAAAUCCCUCGGCUUAACCGAGGAACUGCCUCCCAAACUGCUUGGCUUGAGACCGGGAGAGGUGAGUGGAAUUCCCAGUGUAGCGGUGAAAUGCGUAGAUAUUGGGAGGAACACCAGUGGCGAAGGCGGCUCACUGGACCGGUACUGACGCUGAUGCGCGAAAGCGUGGGGAGCAAACGGG
rnacentral:rRNA from 1 species